GAGAGAGAGAGAGAGAAUCCCAAGCAGGUUCCACGCUGUCAGCGCAGAGCCUGACCUAGGCCUCGAACCCAGAACCCACGAACCGUGAGAUCAUGACCUGAGCCGAGAUCGAGUCCCACGCUUAACCGACUGAGCCACUCAGAUGCCCCUAAACAUUUGCUGUUUAAGCCCCCUGGUCUGUGUCGUUUGUUAUGACAGACUGCGCUGAGAUGGGGACGGAAAAAUAGGAGGUGCUGAGGGGACAGUCAAGGAAGAGGAGACAAAGAUUUAAAAAGCAGGUGGGGAGGGGACGGGCCUCAGAGGAAGAGGGGAGGCUGGUCCCAGAACUGGGUUUGGGUGUUGUUUUCUGGUCUGACACAGUGAAUGAAUAUGUUCCUUUCCUGGGCUGACAUAACACGUUGUCACAAACUUGGUGGCUUGCAAUAGCAGAAAUGAAUUCUCUUGUAGUUCCAGAGGCCUGAAGUUCAGAGUCAAGGUGUUGACAAGGCCAUGCUCCCUCCAGAGUUCUAGGCAGCUCCUGCCUGCCUCUUCCAGUACCCGGUGUCCCCAGGAACUUCUUGGUUUGUGCGGCAUCGCCCCAGUCUCUGUCCCUGCCUUCCUGUGGCCUGUCCCCCGUGUCCCCCUGUGUGUGGGGAGUCUCAGCUCUCCCCUUCUCAUCUAAGGACACCAAACACUGGAUUUAGGGCUCACCCCUCGGCGAACAUGAUCUCAUCUCCAGAUCCUUAAUUACAUCCUCAAAAACCCUAUUUCCAAAUCAGGUCACAUUCGCAGAUGGGGGGACAUUAGCACUUGGACAUAUCUCUUUGGGCACCACAGUUCAGCCCACGGCAAUUAUUUACAUCGUUUUCACUUACAUGCAUGGUAUUGUCUAGUAGGAGAUACUCUUAGGUGUAUUGGACAAAAUUUAAAGUUCUUUUUUGUUUUUCAUUUCAUUUUGCAAAAAAAAAAAAAAAAAGGUAAAAUGAAUGGGUCCAUAGAAGAUAUUAAAAAUCUGGAGUAUGACCGAGAAAAAAGAGAGCAGUUGAAACCCUGAAAGUGAGUACAAAUCUCUGAUAGAAGUUUCCCUGUGAUCUCACUGGAUUCCGUGUGGGAUGAUGUCCAGCAACACAUCGCAAGGAAACACAUACGAUGGUGACAUUUUCAGGAAUCCCUGCGCUCGGCGAGUUUUCUAGUUGUAUAUUUGACUCAAAUAAAUGACUGUCCCAGCCGUUCAUCGAUUGAACUAACUCUGAACCCUGCAAGACACGGGUCAGAUCCUGUGAGGGGAACCAACCGGAAUGUGGCUGAAUGUGUCCCGGGAGAGUUCACGAUCUGAUAGGAGAGGAGGACCUUGUCACUGGAGCCCACGCGGGACAGCCACGGGCAUUUGGGGAAGAAGACCGCACAUCCGGUUGGAGAGAUCCGCGAAGGGCUUCCUGGAGGGGGUGGCGUGGGGGCUGGGCUUUGCAGGAAGGAAGACUGAGCAGGCGGUCACGGAAGGCAGGCCAUUCCAGGCGAAGGCAGAAACAGAGCCUUGAGCGAGAGGUGUCGCGGUGCGCGUGGGGGAACAGGGGUGGUUCGUUUUGGCUGGUGUUGGAGUCUGUGGGAGAACAUAGCGGGGAUGGAGUGUAGUGAGGUCAAGGGGGGGCCAGCUCAUGGAGGGUGUCCAGGGCCACGCAAAGGAGUCUGUUGUGCAGACACAUCCUUCUCAGGAGGGCAGUUUGAGGGUUUCCAGUUGGAGAGAGCGGGAGAUAGUUGGAAAAAGCACCUCCAAAGGGAGCGUGCCUGCUCCCCAGGGUCCGAGGGCCUGCACGGCGGGAACCGUGCCAGCUCUGGGCAGGGCACGAUUCGUGUAAGACUUAGAGGGUGGGGUGAGGCCAGAGGCCGAGUCCCCCUGGGGACGCUCCCGCCAUCACCCAGCUACGAGCGAACGGGCACGGAUGGAGGGGAAUGGCCACGGGGAGAGAAAACAGCAGAGCAGCUCCCUCUGAGACCUGAUUUGUGAAGCGUGGGCUGAACUCCCGGCUCCAGGGGGGCCGGGUUGGGCGGAUUUCGAGCUGGACGCUCACUCCUUGUUUAGGUUAAGACAACGCGGGCAAUGGUUCUCUCGGCCUCUCCUCCGACAGUGUCUCCCUUGAUGAGUUGCUGAUUCUGAGGGUGAUUCUGAUCGUGGGCCACACACGGGCUGAGCCCACCAGAUGCCACCUUCUAGACGUCUUCCAUCCUGAGGACAUUGUGCUAAGUGAACUAGCAGUCACAAAAGGACAAAUGUCACUUACAGGAGGUACUUGGAGCACCGCAAGAGACAGACAGAAAGCCACAGAGACAGAGACAGAGAGACAGAAAGCCACAGAGACAGAACGCCCCAAGGAUGAAAUGAUCAGCGAUUGAAGUGAUCGUCUGAGAGCGGAGAACCUUCUUCCUUAGCUUGCAGGGUAACCACGCUCCUCUGACACUGUCGUAGUGGCCAAGCAGGCCCGUGAAAGUUACCAGCUUGCUGAUGACUCCUUGGCAGCGCACACGUGAUCAUAUCGCCCCCGGGACACCAGUAGAUCAAAUGCAAAUAUUGUUUGCAUAUUCAUCAAGAUACCACAUGGACAGUGCAAGCUGCUUCAAUUUAUCUUUCAAGGAGAAACUCAGCUGCCUCUGGCACGUGCACGGCCCUGGCUCCACUGGCAUGUCUGUGCCUGAACCGAUAUGGAAGUUAUGUUGAAAGAAAAAUAUUAACGAGGAGUGGACUCUGUUACCUGUCGCCCUCUGCUUAGCAUUUAGAAGUUGCCAGCCUGAUUGUGUUUUUCUUUUUCUCUUUUUUAAUUUUUUAAAAC